rnacentral:rRNA from 1 species
GAUGAACGCUGGCGGCGUGCCUAAUACAUGCGAGUCGAGCGAACAGACGAGGAGCUUGCUCCUCUGACGUUAGCGGCGGACGGGUGAGUAACACGUGGAUAACCUACCUAUAAGACUGGGAUAACUUCGGGAAACCGGAGCUAAUACCGGAUAAUAUAUUGAACCGCAUGGUUCAAUAGUGAAAGACGGCUUUGCUGUCACUUAUAGAUGGAUCCGCGCCGCAUUAGCUAGUUGGUAAGGUAACGGCUUACCAAGGCGACGAUGCGUAGCCGACCUGAGAGGGUGAUCGGCCACACUGGAACUGAGACACGGUCCAGACUCCUACGGGAGGCAGCAGUAGGGAAUCUUCCGCAAUGGGCGAAAGCCUGACGGAGCAACGCCGCGUGAGUGAUGAAGGUCUUCGGAUCGUAAAACUCUGUUAUUAGGGAAGAACAAAUGUGUAAGUAACUAUGCACGUCUUGACGGUACCUAAUCAGAAAGCCACGGCUAACUACGUG